CCCUGCUUCUAACCGUCCC
rnacentral:rRNA from 1 species